rnacentral:rRNA from 1 species
AGCGGCGAACGGGUGAGUAACACGUGGGUAACCUGCCCUGUACUCUGGGAUAAGCCUGGGAAACUAGGUCUAAUACCGGAUAUGACUCCACUAGGCAUCUUGUGGGGUGGAAAGUUCCGGCGGUACAGGAUGGACCCGCGGCCUAUCAGCUUGUUGGUGGGGUAAUGGCCUACCAAGGCGACGACGGGUAGCCGGCCUGAGAGGGUGACCGGCCACACUGGGACUGAGACACGGCCCAGACUCCUACGGGAGGCAGCAGUGGGGAAUAUUGCACAAUGGGCGAAAGCCUGAUGCAGCGACGCCGCGUGAGGGAUGACGGCCUUCGGGUUGUAAACCUCUUUCAGCAGGGACGAAGCGCAAGUGACGGUACCUGCAGAAGAAGCACCGGCUAACUACGUGCCAGCAGCCGCGGUAAUACGUAGGGUGCGAGCGUUGUCCGGAAUUAUUGGGCGUAAAGAGCUCGUAGGCGGUUUGUUGCGUCGGCUGUGAAAACUUCACGCUUAACGUGGAGCCUGCAGUCGAUACGGGCAGA